UGGUUCACCAUCAAAUAUCAGAUACCAAACAUAUGGCCAUAGAACGUGACACUUACAUAGCAGCAGGAUAAGAACACACUUACUUCCUGGCUCCACCAAAGCCACAUCCGUUGCCGCCUCCAUUCGCAGGCUGCUCUGGGGUCAAUCUUGGUCGAGCCAGCGGUAGGGCAGGGGUCGUCUCAGCCAGUCGAAGAUCAAUUCUGUUGCAU